CGUGGAGGAAGGUGGUGUUGCGGCAGGACUGGCUGGUCGCGGAUCUUCAGGAGAGGAGGACGAGUGAGGCCAGCAAUCAGCACGGCAGGGGCACCAUGCCGUGUGCGUAGAAUCUCCUCCCCGGCUUCUCAGUUUCCUUGAAUCUUCGAUGCGAUCCCUGAAGAGCCUAUGAAGGAUCUAGAGGGAGAGUUUGAUGAUUGAGGAACGAGGAGCCAAGCACACACGACCAACCAAUUCAAGUCAGGCUGCCUUGCAAAAAUUUCUAAUCGAACUGGAGAAGAUUGUGUUUACCUGCUGCAAGGGUAUGAUGUGCAUCUUUUUGGUUGAUUACCUUGCUCAUUUUCCGCAGGUUUAAGGCACCGACAGGUCUAACCAGCAGGGGUGCUCAACUCACACCUAAGGAAGAAGAUCAAGAAGCGGAACUGGUGUAGGAAUCGUAUGACGAUUUGGAUACAGGCCAGCGAGAGCAAGGACAAGGUGCGCUCUAAUCUGUACCGGUAUAAAUGUGCCAUAAUUUUGAUUUAAAUGUAUGUGGAUGGAAGUGCUCGUGAUGCAAUGUGUCGCUUUUUUCUUAUAAUUUAACACUAAUUUGUGAUUUUCUCCACUUAUGAACCAUGUAGCAGUUUUGAUCCAUAUCUUAUGCGGAUUUUGCGAGGAGAUGCCGCCUUUCCUUGCGAUGUUGGGGCCUUUUACAGUGCUGCGGGUUGCUGCUCUGCAAUGAUGUUAGCGAUGGCGACACAAGCAAGAACACAGUCCCCAAAUGGUUUGCUCUUUAUUUGUGGACCAAUAUUACAAUAUACGACACGAGAUAGGAGACUAUGUGCAUAACCUUUUAUCAAGAUACCAUCAGGACUGGCCGGGCAUGUUCUGAUUGAGUCAUGGAAUAUGUAACAA